rnacentral:rRNA from 1 species
GACAGAGGGUGCAAACGUUGUUCGGAAUUACUGGGCGUAAAGCGCGUGUAGGCAGCCGUGCAAGUCGGGUGUGAAAGCCCUGGGCUCAACCUAGGAAGUGCACUCGAAACUGCAAGGCUGGAGUCCUGGAGAGGAAGGCGGAAUUCUCGGUGUAGAGGUGAAAUUCGUAGAUAUCGAGAGGAACACCGGUGGCGAAGGCGGCCUUCUGGACAGUGACUGACGCUGAGACGCGAAAGCGUGGGGAGCAAACAGG